UACGUAGGCAGCAAGCGUUGUUCGGAAUUACUGGGCGUAAAGAGUGUGUAGGUGGUGACGUAAGUUUGGUGUGAAAUCUCCCGGCUUAACUGGGAGGGUGCGCCGAAGACUGCGAUGCUGGAGUAUGGGAGAGGAAAGCGGAAUUCCUGGUGUAGCGGUGAAAUGCGUAGAUAUCAGGAGGAACACCGAUGGCGAAGGCAGCCUCCUGGGAUAACACUGACGCUCAUGCACGAAAGCGUGGGGAGCAAACAGG
rnacentral:rRNA from 1 species